rnacentral:rRNA from 1 species
UAAUAGCUCACUGGUCGAGUCGGCCUGCGCGGAAGAUGUAACGGGGCUAAACCAUGCACCGAAGCUGCGGCAGCGACGUUUAUGCGUUGUUGGGUAGGGGAGCGUUCUGUAAGCCUGCGAAGGUGUACUGUGAGGUAUGCUGGAGGUAUCAGAAGUGCGAAUGCUGACAUAAGUAACGAUAAAGCGGGUGAAAAGCCCGCUCGCCGGAAGACC